AGGAAAGAAGGAAAGGGCGCACGGGGGAUGCCUGGGCUCUCAGAGGCGAAGAAGGACGUGAUAAGCUGCGAAAAGUCACGGGGAGGUGCAAAUAACCCUAGAUCCGUGAAUAUCCGAAUGGGGUAACCCGCCGUACUGAAGGUACGGCAUCCUACGUAAGUAGGAGGCGAACCCGGCGAACUGAAACAUCUAAGUAGCCGGAGGAAGAGAAAACAAAAGUGAUUCCCUGAGUAGCGGCGAGCGAAAGGGGAGUAGCCCAAACCGUAAAUGUUUCGGCAUAUACGGGGUAGAAGGACCAACGUAGAGGAAGUAAACAAGAAGUGGAAUACACUGGAAAGUGUAACCAUAGAGGGUGAAAGUCCCGUACACGUAAUUGUAUACUUUUGAGUUGGGAUCCUGAGUAGGGCGGGACACGAGGAAUCCUGUCUGAACCAGCCGGGUCCAUCCGGUAAGGCUAAAUACUCCUGAGAGACCGAUAGUGAACCAGUACCGUGAGGGAAAGGUGAAAAGUACCCCUGGCAGGGGAGUGAAAAAGAACCUGAAACCGUGCGCCUACAAGCAGUCGGAGCGUGUAAAAGACAUGUGACGGCGUGCCUUUUGCAUAAUGAGCCUACGAGUUAUGGUUACCGGCGAGGUUAAGUGUUAAGAGACACGCAGCCGAAGCGAAAGCGAGUCUGAAGAGGGCGUCAGAGUCGGUAAUUAUAGACGCGAAACCAGGUGAUCUACCCAUGGUCAGGUUGAAGUCUCGGUAAAGCGAGAUGGAGGACCGAACCAGUAAACGUUGAAAAGUUUUUGGAUGAACUGUGGGUAGGGGUGAAAGGCCAAUCAAACCUGGAAAUAGCUCGUACUCCCCGAAAUGCAUUUAGGUGCAGCCUUAAGUAAAAGUUUAACACAGGUAGAGCUACUGAUAGGAGGCGAGGGUUUCACCGCCUGUCAACUCCUGACAAACUCCGAAUGGUGUUAAAUGCUACUUAGGAGUGAGGGCAUGGGUGCUAAGGUCCAUGUCCGAGAGGGAAAGAACCCGGACCACCGUCUAAGGUCCCGAAAUGCUGGCUAAGUUGAAGAAAACGCGGUAUGGUUGCAGAGACAGCUAGGAUGUUGGCUUGGAAGCAGCCAUUCAUUUAAAGAGUGCGUAACAGCUCACUAGUCGAGCGACCGUGCAUGGAUAAUAAUCGGGCAUAAAGUCAGCUACCGAAGACGUGGAAUAUCGAAAGAUAUUGGUAGGGGAGCAUUCCAACAGCGUCGAAGCAGAUUUGCGAGGGUCUGUGGAGCAGUUGGAAAAGCAAAUGUAGGCAUAAGUAACGAUAAUGGGGGCGAGAAACCCCCACGCCGAAAGACCAAGGUUUCCUGAUCAACGUUAAACGGAUCAGGGUAAGUCGGGCCCUAAGGAACACCCGAAAGGGGCAUCCGAUGGCAAGCAGGUUAAAAUUCCUGCACCCCCUAUACAAAGGAAGUGACGGGUAAGUGAGGCGUCUGAGUGCUGACGGAAAAGCACCCUGAGCCUAGGCUACGGCCGAAGCGAAGGCGCGCAGCUAACUCCAAGAAAAGCGAGUAUAGGGGCCCGUACCGCAAACGGACACACGUAGUUGGGUUGAGUAUACUAAGGCGCUCGAGAGAUACGCGGCUAAGGAACUAGGCAAAAUAGUCCUGUAACUUCGGGAGAAAGGACCCCUGUCGAGAGACAGGGCGCAGAGGAAUGGCCCAGGCGACUGUUUACCAAAAACACAGGGCUUUGCGAAAUCGCAAGAUGCAGUAUAAGGCCUGACACCUGCCCGGUGCCGGAAGGUUAAGAGGAGGUGUUAUCCCGAAAGGGAGAAGCACUGAAUUGAAGCCCCGGUAAACGGCGGCCGUAACUAUAACGGUCCUAAGGUAGCGAAAUUCCUUGUCGGGUAAGUUCCGACCUGCACGAAUGGUGUAACGAUCUGGGCACUGUCUCAGCCGCGCACUCGGUGAAAUUGUAGUACCGGUGAAGAUGCCGGUUACCCGCAACGGGACGGAAAGACCCCGUGAACCUUUACUGCAGCUUAACACUGAAUUUGGGUAUUUAAUGUGUAGGAUAGGUCGGAGACAAAGAAGCCGGGUCGCCAGGUUCGGUGGAGUCGCCGUUGAAAUACGACCCUUUAAAUGCUCGGAUUCUAAUCCCUCAGGAUAAAGGGAGACACUGUUAGGUGGGUAGUUUGACUGGGGUGGUCGCCUCCAAAAGAGUAACGGAGGCUUCCCAAGGUACCCUCAAGACGAUUGGUAAUCGUCUGGAGAGUGUAAUGGCAUAAGGGUGCUUGACUGCGAGACCAACAAGUCGACCAGGUGCGAAAGCAGGGCAUAGUGAUCCGGUGGUUCCGCAUGGAAGGGCCAUCGCUCAAAGGAUAAAAGGUACUCCGGGGAUAACAGGCUGAUCGCCGCCAAGAGCUCAUAUCGACGCGGCGGUUUGGCACCUCGAUGUCGGCUCGUCACAUCCUGGGGCUGGAGAAGGUCCCAAGGGUUGGGCUGUUCGCCCAUUAAAGUGGCACGCGAGCUGGGUUCAGAACGUCGUGAGACAGUUCGGUCCCUAUCUGUUGUGGGCGCAGGAGAUUUGCGAGAAACUGUCGUUAGUACGAGAGGACCGCGAUGGACAGACCUCUGGUGUAUCAGUUGUUCCGCCAGGAGCACCGCUGAGUAGCUAAGUCUGGAAUGGAUAAGUGCUGAAAGCAUCUAAGCACGAAGCCAGUCUCAAGAUAAGAUCUCCGCAGAGGGACGUUGGAGAUGACGACGUAGAUAGGCUGCAGGUGUAAAUACGGCAACGUAUGUAGCCGAGCAGUACUAAUUACCCGAAUCUUUCCGGA
rfam:Thermophagus xiamenensis strain DSM 19012 genome assembly, contig: Ga0131197_140